GAAAUGCGAUACGUAAUGUGAAUUGCAAAUUCAGUGAAUCAUCGAGUCUUUGAACGCACAUUGCGCCCCCUGGUAUUCCGGGGGGCAUGUCUGUCCGAGCGUCAUUUCUGCCCUCAAGCACGGCUUGUGUGUUGGGCCCCGUCCUCCGAUCCCGGGGACGGGCCCGAAAGGCAGCGGCGGCACCGCGUCCGGUCCUCGAGCGUAUGGGGCUUUGUCACCCGCUCUGUAGGCCCGGCCGGCGCUUGCCGAUCAACCCAAAUUUUUAUCCAGGUUGACCUCGGAUCAGGUAGGGAUACCCGCUGAACUUAAGC
rnacentral:misc_RNA from 1 species